AUAGCAGACCGAGUCAGUUCCUGUCGCACUUUGGUCGUUGUUGGUCGUGUAUUGAAAUCUGUCGUGUGACUCGGACCUCGUUUUGCUUGAUUUAAUAAUAGCGGAGUUUAAAUAAGUGUGAAUAAUUCUCGUACUCCACCAAAGGCAAAAAAGGGUUCACAUGGCUCAGUACAGGGAGUCGUAGUGGAUGCAGGUAGCUCAGUAUAGAGUCCGAUGGCGGGAUUUUGUGAACGCGGUGAUGAACAUUAGUGUUUGAAGAAUAAAGUGCAACUAUUAUGUGAGAAGCGAGUGUGCUAAUGCGGUGCUUGGCGGAGCCACUGUUGGACGAGCUCGAGGUACAGCGUCACCAUCUGCCGGUCGCUGGAAGAACGCGGAGAUCACUGCAGCCUCGCCGAAAGGAUUCACAUGGAUCAGUACAGGGAGUCGUAGUGGAUGCAGGUAGCUCAGGAUAGAGUCCGGUGGCGGGCUUUUGUGAACGCGGUGAUGAAAAUUAGUGUUUGAAGAAUAAAGUGCAACUAUUAUGUGAGAAGCGAGUGUGCUAAUGCGGUGCUUGGCGGAGCCACUGUUGGACGAGCUCGAGGUACAGCGUCACCAUCUGCCGGUCGGUGGAAGAACGAGGAGAUCACUGCAGCCUCGCCGAAAGAUAUUUGAGUCGUAUGAAAAAAGUAUUGGAUGCUCUCAGAUCCCAUGAUCCCUUGUAAAUUUGGAGGCUGAAGGUGGAAUCCAUUGGCCUUGCAGGUUUUCGAGCCUGUUUCGUGAAUUCAGUGAAAACAAACACAAUUCCGACUGAAAUGUGUUGGAUAGACCUGUUGGAAGGCUGUGGGAUAUGUAUAUCGUGAUAUUUUAAAGAUAUUUACCAAUGUUUGGGAUGCUGAUCUGCUGUACAUAUAGAGGCAGGGGGAGGAAACUUUCAUCCUGUGGGUGUUCGACAACCUUUCGUCCCGCCAGCGUAAUCGGACUCCACGCCGACUAUACCAUAUUUGUUUUCAGAGUGUGCAACGGAUGAUACUGGGGGCUGUAGAAAGGUCAGAUGUGUUGUAGGCGAAGGAUCGAGCGACAUGUGGGCUAAGCUAGUUGUUGCCGCCCUCAUGAGUAUUCCGUUUUGUAAUGCGCCGUCGACGUAAUUGGAGGUUGCAUUAGAAAUUUAGGUUGGCAACCACAGAUUGGGGCGGGGUGGGGCCCCAAUCAUUACGUUCUAAUAUUAAUCAUGCAAUUGUGUGAUGAUGAGAUAGUCAGAGUGAUUGGUGAG